rnacentral:lncRNA from 1 species
GGAUGAGUGUGACUCCAUGCACGGCUGUGACCAAGAGCAUGCAGGUCAGCGCCCCUGUGAUAACAACAUAGUUGAUGGAUCUAAUGCUGUGUGGGAUGCUUUGGGCCUGGAUAUCAAUAUUGGUCGUGUGGACGUUACUUGGUCCAUGGCUUAGAUAUAUGGUUAUGACUUAUGAUCAGUUGGUUGGUUACUUGGUUUUUGUGUGUGCGUACGUACUUUCCUCUUUGUGUUCCCUCUCUCCUUUGAUUUGUAUGGCUCCGCCAAGCACUAUUUGUAUGUAAUUUUGCAGCAAUAUAUGCAUGCGCUGAAAUAAAACUGGAAGGCACUAGCCCAGUGCCACCAGAACCCCAUUAACUGGGGUUUGAUUAAUAAUGAGUGAUUUGCAUCACGAUCUAGUUGAACCAUCACAUUGAUUAUUAAUGCAUCGCCUAAACUACAUCAACUUCCAAUGAGUAUUUUGUAUUAAUUUAGCAUUGAGAUUCACCUUAUAUAUAGCAAUGCUGAUCUUGGGAAAAUACAUAUUUUAAAUUUAAAAAGUUGUAAAAUCAAAAGAAACUUACAAAGUCAAAAGAAAGAAAAGAAAAGAAAAGAAUAUAGAAGGUGUUGUCUAAUGGGUGGUACUUGAUCACUUUGAUGAGGUCACAGUGAGGAAAUUAACAAGAAGCCAGGAAAGAGAAGCUGUAGAAAAAUUGUCACAUACCAAUAACAAAUAUCAUCCUGGCACCCAAAUAUAAAAGGCCCCAUUGAGUUAUUGACGGGUACAUGUGUCACUUUUUCACCACAAUAUAUAUAUAUAUAUAUAUAUAUAUAUAUAUAUAUAUAUAUAUAUAUAUAUAUAUAUAUAAAAUUAAGAAUUCUUAGUCUUGAUCAGUGGUCAUAUGAAGUUUUUCUAUUAUAAUCUAUCAUAAUACAAAUCUAACUAGUAAAAGCCUAAAUGUCUUAUACCUAAACUAUUUAUUUAUUAAGUAAUUCAUAAUGAAACAAAAUAAUAAAAAUUAGAAUACGAAUCAUUGAGAUAUGGAACCUAAAUUGAUUUUGUUAGAGCAUGCAUUUUGAUUAAUUAAAUUUUAUUCCUUUGUUGAGCUUAAAGUCUAAACCCAAAGUUGGGUUGUGGAACAUUCAAGUUGAUUUUGUUAAACCAUGCCCUAAAACUAAUUAAAUUCUAUACCUUUGUUUUGCUUAAAGGUCUAUGUUCAAAGUUGGGUUGUAGAAACCUCAAUCUUAAUUAGUUGAAUUAAAAAUAAGUAAUUAUUUUAUAAUUUAAAUACAUUUAUUUUUUAAAAAAUCUUUAUUUAUAUUUAUUCUUAUUUAUUUAAAUUAGAUUUUAUUAUCUUUACUCUUUAGUAAAUAAUUAAUCUUUUUAAUCUAAAAAUAAUUAAACACAAGUUAAUCCUAGAAGAUGAUAAUCCAAAAUAAUACAAAGUCAUGAUAACCUUAUAUCCCUACUAUAUUUUUUUAGUCAUAGUCUAUUUGAAUAACUCAAUAAAGCAACGAGUACCUAUUAGUUGUAAGUUCAAAUUCUUGAUUUGAAUUAAUUUUUUUUUUUAUCUUAAAUUUCUUGUGUUUAUCAUAAUAUAACUAGCAAAAAAUGUUUGCAAAUACAUUUACAAAUUCUAUAGAACGAAAAUAAUAUAUCUUAUUUUCCCAUUUAUUUUUCUCUUUAUAGAUUCUAUAUAUAUUUAAAAUCAAAUAUUAUUUUUAAUUUAAAGUUAUAUCGGAUACAUAUUUUUAUAUUAGAUUAAUUCCUUUCAUUAUAUUGAUUAUAAAUAUAUUUAAACUUUUUUUACACUAUUUUAAAAUUAAAAUUACAAUAAAGAAAUGAAAAUAUAUGAAUAAAUGCACUUUUAUUAUUUUUAUUUGAUUAAAAAAUAGACACCAAAUGAAUCAAAUUUUAUCAAUGUUUAUUUUUCAAAACUUAUUUAAAAAAAAUCGAGUAUAAUAAAAUUAUUUUAUUUUUUAAAAAGAAAAGUAAAUUUUAAAAAAUACAUAAACCACACCUAAUUACUAAUGCUACGAUCAAAAGCAAUUACUUGGAAAAGCUGUACACAAUUGAAUAUCGAGAAGGUUACAAAGUCCUAAUUAGAGAAACAAUGAUUUUCAUUAAUUAUGUUUGGUUCCCGGAAAAUAUUAAGGAAAGAAAAAAAAUGCAAAGGAAAAUGACUUUUUCAUGUUUGGUUGUCCUAUGAAAAAUAUCAAAGAAAAUCAAAUAUAAUUAAAACUAAUUAGAAACUUAUGUUUUUUUAAAUUAUUUAAUUUUUAUAUUGAUGAGUUAAAAUAAAUAAAAUAAGUUUGAAGUAACAAAAAAAAUAAUUUAUUAAUUUCAAUUUAUUCUUUUAUUUUCCUUCACUUUUUCUUUUCUUCUACUUUUCAUUUAUAUUUUCUUUCCCUUGCAUUUUCCUUCAAAUUUUUUGAGAACCAAACAUAACCUAAAGGAAAAAACAAUAUUUUUCAAAUUAUUUCUCGGGUGACAGAUACGCAAGCAAAACAUUGAUAUUCCAUAAUAAUAAAAACUAUUUAUUUAUAAUGUUUCUUUUUCACGUUAUUUUUCGGAGUAACUAUAAAUUAAAUAUUUUUACGUGUCCAUGGUGCAUAUUCGUGGGACUCAUUAGUCACAACGAAGGCGUAGUCCUGUGGAUGAGAGGAAAGCAAAAGUAGGAGGUGACCAUCCUCACUUUGUAAUUCAGAAAUAAAUCUAUUAAAUGUCUCACAUCAAAUUAUCACACGCCACGUAAGAAUAGGAUAAGAAAGAACCCAAAAUAUAAUGACACGUGGUUUUCAAAUUUUGCGACGGGUCGAGUGUGGGGGAAUAUCGUCAUAAAAGCGAGGCCACAGCCAGAGAGAAGGCCCACCGGCCUACCGGCACCGAAAUUACGUUGUGGACCGAAAGACUUGAAGUGCAGCCAUCUAGGGGGACGCAUUCAUUGCAAAGGAAACUCUAAAAAAGAAAGAAAAACGUGUGGCUGCUUAAUUUCUUGAUAAGGUGGAGCCGCAUGAGGGCAUGAGUUCAGUAUAUAAGUGGAUGCAAGCUUCAUCCCUUGACCAUUAGGCCUCUUUGGGUUACUGAAUACUAAGAGCAGCUCCAAAUUGCAAUGGCGAAUUCAGCAGUAGUGUGGUUAGCAUCCGUAUGGCUUGUGUCCAAUAUCUUGUCCCUUCCAUUCCUGGCAUUGGGCAUAUCUUCUUGUGGUGGCUCAUGUCAAACACUUGAUGACUGUGACGGUCAGCUCAUAUGCAUCAACGGUAAAUGUAAAGACGACCCCGAAGUCGGGACUCACAUAUGCGGGGGAAGUUCAAGUACCCCUUCCCCUCCGGUCUCCUCCUCCACGCCUGCCAUUCUAACUAACAACAAUUUUGAAAAAUGAGGGGACGGUGGAGGCCCAUCGGAGUGCGACGGCAAAUACCAUGACAAUUCAGAGCGCAUCGUAGCAUUGCCAACUCGGUGGUAUGAUGGGGGAUCCCGGUGUGGGAAGAUGAUUAGGAUAACGGCUCCAAGUGGGAGGAGCGUGUUGGCCAAAGUGGUGGAUGAGUGUGAUUCAGCGGACGGCUGUGCGAAUAACAUAGUUGAUGGAUCUGAUGGUGUGUGGGCUGCUCUGGGGCUGGAUAUCAAUCUUGGUGAAGUGCACGUUACUUGGUCCAUGGCUUAGAUAUCCGUAUGGUUAAUGAGUUGGGUUGGUUUUUUGUGUUCCCCUCUACUUUGGUUAUGAUGUAAUUUUGCAGCAAUAUGCACUGAAAUAAAAUAGCUGGAAGGCGCUAGCCCAGUGCCACCAGAACCCCAUUGACUGGUUUGAUUAAUAAAGAGUGAUUAUCGGCAGAAUGAACUACUUCAAGUCUUCAACCAUCACAUCGAUUAAUUAAUAAAGAAUCCCAUCAACUGUUGUUAUCCUCCUUAUACACAUUGAUUAAUUAGGCUUUAUAAACACCUACGAAACUUAAAGAUUGUUUUCCCUGAUGAUCAGUACUUCACAGUUACUUUGUUCACCACAACAUACAUCGUCUGAACAUUGGGCAGCAGCCGAUUAUUGUCUCUGUACCAUUAAUUAUCGAUCCUAAUCAACUCAUUUUUAUCCAAUCGUACUGGGCAGUACUUACAAGACAAGUCUUUAUUAUUAUUUUUUCAACAUUACAGCUAUCAAGAAAUCAUUUAAGCUUAUUAUUUUAAUUUGUUGAACAAGUUAACUUCAUUGCAUAGUUAUUAAACCACCUAUUAAUAAAUAAUUUUUAUUUUUAAUAAAUUAAUAUAUAAAAUUAAAUAAACCCAAUCCAGUUAUUAAAAUAUCGUUGAGCUAAAAAAAUGAGCUUAUUUCUCAAAUAAGCUGGAGGGGCUCGAACCCUCACAAAAUAUUUAAGGAGUGUCCAAUAUACCACUAAAUUAAUUAUAAUUAUUUUAUAAUUAAAUAAAAAAAUUUCAUUUAGUAGAUUAAAAAAAAUAUAAAAAUUAUCAAGAUAAUUUUCUUUAUAGUGUUUUUAAUAUUAAAAAAUUAUACAUUUAUCAUCAUUUACUUUAUAUCAUUUAAUACAGUUGAAUUAAAUGUAUCAUAAUUUUAAUAUUAAAUAUAUUUAAAAAUUAGACAUAUUACAAUCAAAUAUCACAAUAUUAUUAUCGAAUAAUAUUUUAUGUAAUUUAAUAAUCAAUGUACACUUUUAUUUAUGUAAUUUAAUAAUCAAUGUACACUUUUAUAUAUAUAUAUAUAUAUAUAUAUAUAUCAAUUUCUUCAACAAAACAAUUUUAAAAAGUCUAUUAUACUUCUAAUUUCAGUUUUAAGAGUUUUUUUUUAUAUAUUUUCAUAAAUUUUGAUCAAAUUUAAAUUAAUCGAUAUUUUUUAUCAAAAUAUCUGUCUAUAUAUCCAUAAAAUCAAAAUAUCGAUAUAUUCGUGAUUACUGAUAAUUUUAUCCUUGACCCAAUCAUUAGUAAAAAUAAAUAUUACACCCAAUAAAUUAUUUAUAUAUAAUAUUAUAAUCUAAACUAAAUUAUGUAUAAAUAAAUUUGUUCAAAGAAAGUACAUGUCAAACAAAUUUUCAUUUAAUUCCUAGUAAUUUGUUUUAAACAUAUUAAAGUAGUUGAAAUACAAAUGUUCAAUCAAAGUUUUAUUUAAUUUUUAAUCUAUCAAAUGAGAAUAUCAUCAAACUUCCUAUAAGAAAACAUUGCUUUCCACAUAAAAGAAUCAACUCCAAAUUAAAUUUGCACUAUCACCAAUAUCUGCUUCAAAAAUUACACAAAAACCUAAAGUUUAGUAGUACAAAUUAAGUUUUCAAUAUCAUAUACUAUUUUUGAAGAAUUCUCUUGUCACUAUAAACAAAUACUUGUCUUUAUGAUAAAAUUAAUUUGAGUAAGGAUCUAAGGUAUAACUUACUUGCCCUAAGAAAAUUUUAACUUCAACCAUUUCAAAUAUAAGAUCGCGUUAUACCUCAAAUAAUAGAGUAUAAUAGUAUUAAGAAUUCAAUAAACUACUACUACUUCUUCUUCUUCUUCUUCUUUAUUUUAAGCAAAAUAAUAUAUAUUUCAUCAUAAACCAUACUAUUUUAACUUCAACCAUUUCAAAUAUAAGAUAGAGUUAUACCUUAAAUAAUAGAGUAUAAUAGUAUUAAGAAUUCAAUAAACUACUACUUCUUCUUCUUUAUUUUAAGCAAAAUAAUAUAUAUUUCAUCAUAAACCAUACUAUUUUAACUUCAACCAUUUCAAAUAUAAGAUAGAGUUAUACCUUAAAUAAUAGAGUAUAAUAGUAUUAAGAAUUCAAUAAACUACUACUUCUUCUUCUUUAUUUUAAGCAAAAUAAUAUAUAUUUCAUCAUAAGCCAUACUAUUUUAACUUCAACCAUUUCAAAUAUAAGAUAGAGUUAUACCUCAAAUAAUAAAGUAUAAUAGUAUUAAGAAUUCAAUAGACUACUUCUUCUUCUUCUUCUUCUUCUUCUUCUUCUUCUUCUUCUUCUUCUUUAUUUAAGCAAAAUCAUAUAUUAUUCAUCAUAAACCAUACUAUUUAUCAUUAUCCUAAUAAUACUAAACUCAAGGUUACGUAUAAUAAAAUGAAAUAUCUAAAAGUAUUUUUUUGAAUUCUAUAUAUGUUAAAAACUAGUAUUAAAUUAAGAAAAAUAAAAUAAAGAAAAAGAGUAUUAAUGCAUGUUUACAGCUAAAUAAUGCAAAGAUUGAGUGUCAUUUUGAUAAAAAGGCCACGAAGUACGUGAUACAUAGGAUUUGGUUAUCUCAAUGUAUUAAAACCAAUGCUAAAACCUGCUUGAAGAAAAAAAACUAGAAUACUCAUACCCUAAUUAAGUACCACAAUAAAUUAAUAUCAUAAAACAUUAUAAUAAAUUUACCUUUGAUUAGAAUUUGUAUUCAUCUCAAGUAACCAAACAAAUUACCUCUAAAUUAUUUUAAAAUUUUGCAUAGUUUAGUUCACAUCAUUGAAAAUAAAAAGGUUUUUCAAAUGUCAUGAUCACUAUAUAUUUUCUAUCAAUGCAUAAUUUCAAUAAUUAUGUAAUCUUGCUUUUACAUUGAUACAUGGAAGCCACUCGCUUCUUAUUUCACAACUCGUCAUUUGAACACUUAACCAAUAAAUGUUUUUUUUUUUUCCGUUUUUUCUUAAUUUUAAAUUUUUUAUUUAUCUUUUCAUUUAAAUAUAGAAAGAUCUUUAUUACAAAUGUAUUUAAAAUAAAAAAUAUUUAGAGCUAUUAAAAAUCUAUUUAAAUUGAAUUUAUUUAUAUCUAAAAGAUUUUUAUUCUUUUUAAGUUUUUAAAAUGUACUAUAAACUAGUGUAUCUGUUAGCCAACGAUUCUCCAGAUCGUGUUUUGAUGAUAAAAAAGCAUAGUUAAGUUGUUAAUUUUUUUUGAAUUAUAAAGAAUUUCAAGUGUUAGUUUGAAAAUCCAUUAAAGAACCCAAUGGAUGUAAGAUAAAGACAAUUGGAAAAUUUUACUCAUAGAAAACAUAUAUAAGAUGAAUGCAUGGAUGCAUUUAGGUUUUUCAUAUCUUUUCAUGCAUCUUUAAAAACUCAGUUUAUGCUUUAAAGUUACAUUUACAUCAAAACUUAAGUUUUAUUAAAUGAACUUUAGGCAAAUCAUUUCAAAAUUGGCAUAAUAAUUUACCUAAAAACCUUACCUAAGUGUUAGAAGAAAAAAAAACAUAAAAAAAAAAAGUUUUUGGGCCAAAAAUUGUAAACCAGUCGAGGCACUGGCCAACUAGCUCAAUUGACUAGGGUGCCGAUCAACCGAUUACACCUUCUCGAUCGAGGUCCGAUUGAGAGAUGCAAAAAAUCUUCUCUCUCUUCCAAUAGCCUUGCAUUCUUGAUCGAGGAAUAUGUCUUCCCGAUCGAGGCCUAACGGUCACCUAACAAGCAUUUAUUGCCCAAUAGUUAGUUAACCAGUCGACCUCCAGCUCGACCAAUCAAGGUUAUUUUUUUUUUUGGUCUUUUUGGCUCUCAAGGCUAUAAACUUAUAAAUUGAGAACUCGACUUCAUUUAUGAGUAAGAGAACACCUACAUUUAUUUGUCUACCUACUUGUUCUUGCCUCAAAAACUUUAAUUCUUUCAUUAGUUCAUUAAAUUUUCAUUUGCAUAUUCCUUAAUGCACCCUUAUGAUUCAUCCUAGCAUUUGAGUUGUAUUUAAGCCCUUGUUGAGCUAGGUUGAAAGAUUUGAUUUUGUUAUUCGAUUGUUAGAACCUUUAAGUGAGUAAAGACUUGAAAAUAUUGUAUAAGAGCUCAUUUGAGCUAAAAUCCAAGUGUAAAUGUGUCAGAAGCUUGGUUGAAACUUCAAAUAUAGUAGAACCCUCACUCGGUUAGGAGCUUGAGAAGAGUGGACGUAGGCAAGGGGUGUCGAAUCACUAUAAAAUCUGAAUUUGCUUCUUCGAACCUUAUCUCUUAUGUAUGUGCUUCCUUUACUUGAAUUUGUUGUGGUUGAAAACAAAAAUUAAAACCCAAUUCACCCACCCCUCUCUCUAUCUCUCUCUCUCUCUCUUUACCUCUUGGGUGUUUUCUCUAUUAAGAUUAGUCUUUAUUUUCUCAGUAUCUAAGAACAUAAAUAUGUGUUUUCACUCUUAAUAGCCCAAAAUAGAUUCUUUUUAAUCCAAUUAAUUCAUUUGAGAAUAUAUGGAAGAAUAAAAACCAAUCAAGACACAAGACAAAAGAUUAUUUACAUGGAUUUCCAUACAACAUGUGGAAAUAAAAAAACUAAAAAAAAUACCAUAGAGUCAAAGACCUCAAAUUUAUAAUCCACUUAUGAGAGUACAACAAAGUUUUACCUAACAGACAUUAUCCCUAAGACUUACUCUUCAAUACUCAUACUGCAUUUUACAUCCGCGAUACAACACCUUGUGUGCUCCCAAUGGAUCUCACCUUAGUAUUUGAAGGGAUGUAGAUCUCUUUCACAAUCUAACAAAAGCAAACAUGAACACUUCUUUGAGAGUUUUGGAAAGAAUAAGACAAAUUAGAUUUUCUAAUUCAGAAGCACUAAGCCAAAAACCUUUUUAAGCAAGGCAUAUGUAGGCCUAGAGACCUAGUGGAUCGAUACUUAGAAAAUCCUUGAUUUAAAUCCAUUAAAAAAUGGAAAGAGUGAACUCCAAAAUUUUGGAGGAUUCUAUCUCAUGUGCUUAUGCGCCCUUAUAGCCCUUGAGUGCUCUUCAAGCAUUGAAUUUAGUGCUCUUUCUCUUUUCUUUUUGGGAGAAUUAUGUUUUAGAGGUAGAUAAGCCCCCAAAUUAACAAAAUGUUCAUAUAACUCUUCAAAUUGAGUUGAAGGAUAUGAAAUAGUAACGGACAAAUAUACCCUUUAAGAACACAUAAAAUAUUUUAUAAAAUUAAGUUAAAUAAAAAAAUUUUAAUAAUUUUUUUUUCAAAAAUACUAAAUUAAAUAAAAGUGGUUUUCAAAAAUAUUAAAUUAAAUUUUUUUUUCAAAAAUAUUAAAUUAAAUAAUUUUUUUAAAUAUUAAAUUAAAUAAAAGUAUUUUUAAAAAAUAUUAAAUUACAUAAAAGUAUUUUUAAAAAAUAUUAAAUUAAAUCAAAAAUAUUUUUAAAAAAUAUUAAAUUAAAUAAAAGUAUUUUAAAAAAUAUUAAAUUACAUAAAAGUAUUUUUUAAAAAUAUUAAAUUAAAUCAAAAAUAUUUUUUAAAAAUAUUAAAUUAAAUAAAAGUAUUUUUCAAAAAUAUUAAUUUUUUUCUCAAAAUCAACAAAGGACAUUUUUGGAAAUACUGAAGGAUAAUAUCCUUCAACUCAAUUUUCAUACUUUCAUUGAGUCUUGGGAUCAAUUUGAAGAGUUACACGGACCUUUUGUUAAUUUGGGGGCCCAUCUACCCCUAAAACAUAAUUCUCCCUUUCUUUUUUUCUUCUCUCUCUCUAUAUAUAUAUAUAUAUAAUAAAAGGUUAAUUAAUUUUAUUAUAUUUUACAAAUAGAUUUAUACUUUUUCUUGCAUUAUUUUAAAAUAAAAUUAGAGUAAAGAAAAUGAAAAAUAUAUGAACAAAUUUAAUUUUAGUAUUUUUAUUUUUAAAAACGAAUUUUCAUUUUGCUCAACCCAAAGCUGUUUGGAAGUGAUCAUUUUCAAAAGUAUGGGAAACCAAAGGCAGCUAGAGAUUUAGUUAUAGUGUGUAGCAUGUGCAAAGACUUUGAACUCAAACCACCAAGGUGUACAACCUCUCUCUCCCUUAAUUGCAUUCGUUCACGAUCCCUUUAGAUACUUCUUCCCUUUUGGGUCAUGUAAAGUAGUGGCAAGACAAAUCCGAAUUGAUUCCUUACUAUAUAUAUAUACUUCUUCCCUAAUAUCUCGUGAUCACGAUCCCCUUUAGAUACUUCUUCCCUUUGUGGCAAGAAAAAUCCGAAUUGAUUUCUUACCAUAUAUAUAUACAUAUGAUAUGAUGUUCCAUAAUACGGUCAAAUAUAUUUACUUUUAAAGUUUCUUUCUCCACAUUAUUUUUCUUAUAUAGUAGAUUUAAAAUAUUCUUUAUCUACCCAUUUGCCGAUGCAUGUUUGUAAUUGUGGGAGUCAUUAGCAUUAAUUAUUGAAGGCAUGUGUCUAACCUAAAAAGAAGUUAGCAUUAUCGAAGGCCUAGUCUUAUGGAUGUGACUAAAGGAAGGAGAGGCCAUCAUACUCAUCCUAGUGCCAAUUAACUCAAAAUGACUGAGGAUAAUUCUUUGAUGGGGUAAUUUUUGAACAAGAUGAUAUUAUAUGAUAAGAAAAAGGUCUAUGUGAUAUUUGAAUAUAAUUUGAUAUUUACUUUGCUUAAAAAAAAAACUUUAAAAUAUUAAAAUGAGAGUCCAUAAAAAUUGAAGAAUGAUUUUUAUAAUUUAAAAAUAAAUAUAGUAAAUGCGUCACAUCAAAUUAUGGCACGCCACCUAAGAAUAGGAUAAGGAACCUAAAGUACAAAGAUCCGUCAUUUUCAAAUUGUGUGGCGGGUUGAGUGUGGGGAAUAUCAUCCUAAGAGUGAGACUUUUCUCAAUAGUACAGUAAUUUUAAAAAGUUAUGCUUAAAUUAUUAUAGUAGAAGAAGUUAUUAUAAAUAUAUGGUAGUUUUUGCCACCUAAGAGAGAGGAGAGAGAGUGAACCGAUAAAUUUUUUUUAAAACCAAAAUUGUCUUUUCAAAAGACGAUUUUAAAAAAAUUUCAAAAGGUAAAUCGUCUCUUCAAGAGAUGAGUUCCAUGGAAAAAAAUAUAUAUUUUUUUAAAAAAAAAUUCCUUAAGGGAACUCGUCUCUUCAAUAAACGAGUUCCACAAAAAAUAUAUAUAUAAAUUCCCAAAAAAAAAAAACACAAUUCCUCAAUGGAGCUCGUCUCUUCAAGAGAUGAGUUCCAUGAAUAUAUAUUUUUAAAAAAAUUCUCAAAUUAUAAAAAAAAAAAAAAAAAAAAGGAAAAUUCCUCAAGGGAACUCGUCUCUUCAAGAGACGAGUUCCCAUGAAAUUUUUUUUUUUUAAAAAAAAAUAUAUUCCCAAAUUAAAAAAAAAAAAAAUAUUCCUCAAGGGAACUCGCCUUUUUUUUUUUUUUUUUUUUUUUUUAUAAUUUGGGAAUUUUUUUAAAAUAUAUAUAUAUAUAUAUAUUCAUGGAACUCGUCUCUUGAAGAGACGAGUUCCCUUGAGGAAUUUUCUUUUUUAUUUUUUUUUUAUUUCGGGAAUUUUUUUCGUUCCCUUGAGGAAUUGUUUUUUUUUUUUUUAAUAAUUUGGGAAUUUUUUAAUAUAUAUAUAUAUAUAUAUUUUCAUGGAACUCGUCUCUUGAAGAGACAAGUUCCCUUGAGGAAUUUUCUUUUUUUUCUUUUUAUUUUUUUAAUUUGGGAAUUUUUUUUCCAUGGGAACUCGUCUCUUGAAGAGACAAGUUCUCUUGAGGAAUUGUUUUUUUUUUAUAUAUAUAAUUUGGGAAUUUUUUUAUAUAUAUAUUUUCAUAGAACUCGUCUCUUGAAGAGAGGAUUUCCCUUUUGAAAUUUUUUUUAAAUCAUCUUUUGAAAUUUUUUUUAAAUCAUCUUUUGAAAAAACUAUUUGAAAUUUGAAAUGAUGAUUUUGGUUUUAAAAAAAAAUUAUCUACUCACCCUCUCUCCUCUCUCCUAAGUGGUAAAAACUACCGUAUAUUUGUAAUAACUUCUUCUACUAUAAUAAUUUAAGCAUAACUUUUUUAAAUUACCGUAUGAGAAAAGUCUCCUAAGAGUGAAGCCGCGAGCUGAGAGAAGUCCCACUGGCACUAAAAUUAGAGAAGGCUUCAGUUACGUCAUGAACCGAAAGAUUGAAGUGAAGCCAUCUAGAGGAGCCUUGCAAAAAAAAAUAUAUAUGGUGGAGCCGCAUUAGGGCAUGGGGUGAGUACAUAAGUGGAUGCAAGCUUCAUCCGUUGUCCAUUAAGCCUCUUUGGGUUACUGAAUACUGAGAGUAGCUCCAAAUUGCAAUGGCAAAUUCACCUGUAGUGUGGUUAGCAUCGGUGUGCCUUGUGUUCAAUAUCUUGUCCCUUCCAUUCCUAGCAUUGGGCUUAUCUUCUUGUGGUGGCUCAUGUCAAACACUUAAUGACUGUGAAGGUCAGCUCAUUUGCAUCAAUGGUAAAUGUAACGACGAUCCCGAGGUCGGGACUCACAUAUGUGGAGGAAACUCGAGUACCCCUUCCCCUCCAUCCCCCAGUACCUGCCAGCCCUCGGGAACUCUUGCGUGCAAGGGCGGAAAACCCAAAAAUACCUACACAUGCUCUCCUCCGGUCACCUCCUCCACGCCUGCCGUUCUAACUAACAAUAAUUUUGAAAAAGGAGGAGACGGUGGAGGCCCAUCCGCUUGCGACAACAAAUACCAUGACAAUUCAGAGCGCAUCGUAGCAUUGUCAACUGGGUGGUAUAAUGGGGGAUCCCGGUGUGGAAAGAUGAUCAGGAUAACGGCUCAAAAUGGGAGGAGCGUGUUGGCCAAAGUGGUGGAUGAGUGUGACUCCAUGCACGGCUGUGACAAAGAGCAUGCAGGUCAGCCCCCCUGUGAUAAUAACAUAGUUGAUGGAUCUAAUGCUGUGUGGAAUGCUUUGGGGCUGGAUAUCAAUAUUGGUGAAGUGGACGUUACUUGGUCCAUGGCUUAGGUAUAUGGUUGGUUGGUUACUCGGUUUUUGUGUGUACGUACGUACCCUCCUCUUUGUGUUCCCCUCUCUAUUUUGGUUUGUAUGGCUCCGCCAAGCACUAUUUUUAUGUAAUUUUGCAGCAAUAUAUGCAUGCACUGAAAUAAAACUGGAAGGCACUAGCCCAGUGCCACCAGAACCCCAUUAAGUGGUUUGAUUAAUGAAGAGUGAUUUGCGUCACGAUCUACUUGAACCAUCACAUUGAUUAUUAAUGCAACGCCUAAACUACAUCAACUUCCAAUGAGUAUUUUAUAUUAAUUUGACAUUGAGAUUCACCUUAUAUAUAGCAAUACUGAUCUUGGGAAAAUACAUAUUUUAAAAUUAAAAAGUUGUAAAAUCGAAAGAAACUUAAAAAGUAAAAAGAAAGAAAAGAAAAGAACAUAGAAGGUCUUAUCUAAUGGGUGGUACUAGAUCACUUUGAUGAGGUCGCAGUGAAGAAAUUAACAAGAUCCCCAGGAAAGAGAUGCUGUGCAAUAAGAAAUAUCAUCCUGGAACCCAAAUAUAAAAAGCCCCAUGGAGUUAUUGACGGGUACAUCAGUCAUAUAUAUACAUAUAUAAUACUUUGUCUUGAUCUAUACUUUUCAACAGUUUUUCUAUUAUUGUCUAUCCUAAUACAAGAUAAUUUAACUGAUAAAAGCCUAAGUGCCUUAUACCUAAACCAGAUUUCAUAUCUAUUUAUCUAUUAAAUAAUUUAAAAUAAAAUAAAAUAAUUAAAGUUAGAACACAAAUUAACUCUGAGAUAUGGAACUUAAAUGUUGAUUUUGUCACUUACUAGUCCAUAUUCAAAGUUGGGUUGUAGAAACCCAAUCUUGAUUAGUUGAAUUAAAAAUCAAUAAUUAGGGAAGAUAAAAAAAAACCAAUCAACACACAAAAUAAAAUAUUUUUAACAUGGAAAACUUUCAUGCAAUAUGAAGAAAUAAAAAGUCAGAAGUCAUAAACUUCAAAUCUACAUCUAUUAUAUGAGAAUACAAUACACACUUUUAUCUAGCAGAUUGCAUUUGAAUCUCAUCUUAGCGCUUAAAAUGAUGCAAAUCUCCUUCACAAUCCAACAAAGACAAACAUGAACACUUCCUUGAAAGCUUUAAGAAUAAGAAGACAAAUUACAUUUUCCAGCUAGAAAAACUAAGCCAAAAACCUUUUUGAGUAAGGUAUAUGUACGCCCACAGACUUAGUGGACCAAUUCUCAAAAAAUCCUCAUGCAAUUUAAAUCCUUUAAAAUUGGAAAGAGAAAACUUUAGAAUUCUAGAGGAUUCUAUGUCGAGUGCUCAAGCACCCUCAUAUAGGGAUGACAACGGGGUGGGUUCGGGACAGGUCGCCCCCAUCCCAACCCCACCCCGUUUAUUCGAAAUAAUUCUCAUUCCCAUCCCAUUUAAAAAAUUAAACGGGAUGGGACGGGCCGAGGCGAGUAUGAUAAAUUUUCAUACUUGUCCUGUUUAACUUUUUUUUUUUUUUAAUUUUUUUUAAAAAAAUUACUUUUAAAUUUUUAAUUAUAUUAAAAUAAAUAUAUUUUAUAAAUAAUUAAAUUAUUAUAUUUUUUAUAACUUAUUUUAUUAAAAAUAUUUUAUUAUUAUCUAUAUAUUAAAAAUAAUAAAAUAAAAAUUAAAUUAAAUUAAUUUUAAAUUAUAAAUUAAAUUAAAUUUAAAAAUUAAUUUUAUAUAUAAUCGGAGCAGGGCUGGGUGGAGUGGGGCAAUACCCGAACCAGUCCCGAGUUUUUAAAAAAAUUCUCAAACUCAUCACAAACCUAUUUAUUAAAAUUAAACUCCGUCCCAUUAGAGACGGGACGAGGCGGGUACCCGAAUAAACCCGCCCCAUUGCCAUCCCUACCCUCAGAGCAUUUGAGUGCUUCUCAAGCAUUGAAUCCAGGCUUCAAGGUUCAUGUAGUUUUUAAACCCUAAAAAAAAAUUCAUUUUGAUCAAUUUUAAAAACUCGAUGGAUGUCAUGCUACACCAACUACUAAUUUGUCUUUCUAAGACAUUUCUAUACUUACCAAACUCAAUCGAUGCCAUGUUAUACCAAAAUAUGUAUAUAUAAACCAUUUUAACAAGAUUUUAUUGAUUUUAGUUUUUAAAAAUAGUUUUUUAUUAACCAUAUUUUAGUAAAGGGAAAAAGAGAAAUUCUUAUUAGUAAAUGUUUUCUAAAACAAAUGGAACCCAAAACUCUAAAUGUGCUUUAGAAAUUUUUUGGAAAACCAAAACCUGUUUUCUAAAAGGUUGAAAGAAAGAUAAUAAACAAAAUCUUGUGAGAUCCUUCUAUAUGAAUAUCAUAAAUAUAAAUGAAAAUGAAAAUGAAUAAAAUUACACAAUAUAGCAUGACUUAUCUGUAUAUAUUUGAAAUAUAAUAUUCUUUUAUAAGUGUUAUUACAAUUUAAAGUUAUAUCAAGUAUAUAUAUUUUUUCAUAUUAGGUUAAUUCAUUUUAUUAUAUUUUAUAAAUAGAUUUAAACUUUUUCUUGCAUUAUUUUAAAAUAAAAUUAGAGUAAAGGAAAUGUAAAAUAUAUGAACAAAUUUAAUUUUAGUGUUUUUAUUUGAUUAAGAAAUAAACAAGAAAUAAAAUUUUAUACUUUUUAUUUUUAAAAACGAAUUUUCAUUUUGCUCAACCGAAAGCCUUUUCAAAGUGAUCAUUGUCAAGAGUAUGGGCAACCAAAGGCAGCUAGAGGUUUAGUUGUAGUGUGUAGCAUGUGCAAAGACUUUGAAUUCAAGCCAUAAACGUGCACUACCUCUCUCUCCCUUAGUUGCAUUUGUCAUGUUCUCUUGUGAUGAUCUCCUUUAGAUGCUUAGACCCUUUGGGUCACGUGAACUAGUGGCAAGAAAAAUGAAUUGAUUUCAUGAUGGAGAGUGUAGGGACCCCUCCCCUUGGGAAACACGUGGCACGCGGCUCAUGGUGACGCGUGGCACGUGCUGUCAGCCGGACCAUCAUCAUCCGGAUUCCCCUACAGAUACGUAUGGUGCGACUAUCCUAUCCGGAACCCCCCAAGGAAAGACAAACAACGUUUCAGCUUCUCCUAUCCAAGGAAGAGCAAACGACGCUGGCAGAACGUAGACACCCGGAUAGUCUCCACAAACACAUCCGGAUAUUCAGCAUGAUCCAUCCGGAUAUAAAUCGUCUGGAUGGUCAAUUAAAGUAAAGCGAGUCUUACACGCAAUCACAACAAGCAGCCAUGGCCCACAUCCCAUCACCUGCAGAAUGAGAAGACAAGAGGAAGUGACAGCAAGUCACUUCCCACGAUCAUUCUGCAUAAUCGCUUCCCACGAUCUCUGACAGCCGCAUCACCUACCAUGGUCUCUGACAGCCAUUCGUAGGAUGAUAGUGCUCCUACUAACACCUAUUGUCAUCAUCACAACAGAAAAUAUCUCCCCACCAUUAAUGAGAGGAACAGUACCCCUGAAGCUGUAUAUAUAUGACUUCACACGAAGAAGAAAGGGAUGAUCUCCCGGUAACCUCUUGACACCUAGUAAAAGGCCAACUGCCUCAUAUAUCUUAUUCUCUUAUCAUGGCUAACAACAUCAUCGGAGGGUGCAUCCGGACACCUUGUCCGGAUGCCUUUUUACAGGUACAACCACUGAAUCAAGAACCCCUUGUGUGUUGAGAAUCGCGUGUCCAUCCAUCUAGCAGCAACGCGGCCCACCUGAUACGCGAGGUGACAACAUUGGCGCCGUCUGUGGGAACCUUUUACUUUUUAUUUUGAUUCAGUCACUAGCAAAGAUGGCCACACCUUCCCAAAGUCGAUCAUCUGGUAGAGAGGAAGAAGAUAAUCACGAAUGGCGUCAAGCCAUCGAAAAAAGACAGUUGGCGAGCGAAAAACAGCUAAGAGCUCUCCUCCAGGAGACGGAGAGGUUAAGGGAAGAAAACGCUGUGUUACGCAUUCAAGCCUCAACAUCAAGACCUCCUCGUCGUCAGCGCUCAAAAGGUCAAGUGGCGAACUCAAGGCCAGAGCCAGAAUCAAUAUAUCCUGGGUCAACAGGAGCUGUCCCAGGAACAUACAACGCAAGGCCCCAUGAGCCACGCACACCCAUGCCUCGAGCUCCCCGUGAGGAAAGCUCAGAUUCCACUCAUUUCUCAGCAAAAAGACAACGUGAUAGAAAAUCACAGUUGUCAAGUUCUAUGCGCGCAAGACUAGACCCACAGGAGCCUGGGAGAUCAAGGCCACCAGUAGCCACAACUCGGGCGCCACGCCCCGAUCCUAUGAUUGCUCCCAUGGUGCAGAACGUACCUCCGCAUCGUGACCCCAUGGUCACCCCAGCGAUGCGGAACGUUCACUCACACCUAGCGGAACGAUCACUCACACCUAGCGGAACGACCAGCUGGGAGAAACCUCCCAAACGAGCCACCCAUUGGCUCCAUCAGCAAAAGGCUGGAUGACAUGCUCUCCACGCCCUUUUGCUCUCAUAUCACCCAUUACGAGCCCCCAAGAGGAUUUCUCGUACCAAAGUUUUCCACAUACGAUGGGACCAACGAUCCCUUCGAUCACAUCAUGCACUAUCGACAGCUUAUGACGCUCGAUAUUGGCAACGAUGCAUUAUUAUGCAAAGUAUUCCUUGCCAGCCUUCAAGGGCAGGCCCUUUCAUGGUUUCAUCGCCUACCUCCUAACUCUGUUGACAAUUUUAGGGACCUCUCUGAAGCAUUCGUGGGACAGUACUUAUGCUCUGCUCGACACAAGCAGAAUAUCAGCACCCUCCAGAACAUAAAAAUGAAAGACAACGAAUCCUUGAGGGAAUUUGUGAAACGAUUUGGCCAAGCCGUACUCCAAAUAGAGGUUUGCAGCAUGGACGCUGUCCUACAGAUCUUCAAAAGAAGCAUCUGUCCAGGCACCCCAUUUUUCGAAUCGCUGGCAAAAAAACCUCCUACAACGAUGGACGAUUUGUUCAGACGCGCUAACAAAUAUUCAAUGCUCGAAGAUGACGUACGUGCAGCCACUCAGCAAGUUUUGGUUGCCGGACGGGCUUCUAGAGAUAACGUGGACAGACAUGCCAAACCUCCGGACCGGCCAAAACCAAUUGACCGGAGGCAGGACGGGCCGAGUCGUCCGGAUAGGCCGUCCAUCACACCCCUAUCCAUAUCAUACGAAAAACUUCUCCCAAUGAUCCAAGGGUUGUCCGACUUCAGGUGGCCUAGACCCCUCGAAACGGACCCAUCUAUAAGAGACCGCAGCAAGAAAUGCGCCUUCCACAAAGACCAUGGUCAUACAACAAAGACAUGUCGGUCCCUCCAGUAUCUAGUUGAGAGGCUCAUCAAAGCAAGACAUUUAAAACAGUACCUCCCCUCAGAUACUGGAGGAAGGGACGCAUCACAGCAUCAUAACUCUGGGGCCCCGAGGGCCCCAGUCGCCCCCAAGGCUGUCAUAAACUAUAUCAACGGGGGCCCAUCUGACGAGGAAUACGAUUCCAGGCGGAAAAGACAGAAAUUGCUGCGAGCCGCGUCAAUACGCGAACGCAUUAAUUCCAUCCGGCCGGGUCUUACUGGGGAGGGCCCUCGCCCCAUUGAUGGGACAAUCAUUUUCCCACCAGUAGAUCCCACCCGAACGCUACAGCCACAUCGCGACGCCCUCAUCCUCUCUCUAGAAAUAGGAGAUUUUGAUGUAAGACGUAUCUUGGUUGAUCCAGGCAGUUCAGCCGAUCUAGUACAAGCAUCAGUCAUUGGCCAUAUGGGACAUAGUCCCGCGGGUCUCGAAAACCCCGGACGAAUCUUAUCCGGAUUCAACGGAUCAUCAACAACAUCCUUAGGAGACAUUAUACUGCCGAUUCGAGCUGGACCAGUCACUCUCAACGUGCAAUUCUCGGUGGUACAAGAGUUGUCACCCUUCAAUGUCAUCUUGGGACGCACAUGGCUUCACUACAUGAAAGCCAUCCCUUCCACAUAUCAUCAAAUGGUGAGUUUCCUCACCAACGAAGGGCAAACUGACUUGUAUGGCAGCCAGUUAGCCGCUCGCCAGUGCUACCAAAUAGCACGUGAAGCAGUCGCUAACCAGGAGGAUGCAUCUCCCCCUGAACCUAGCAUUGCGCACGACCAAUAGCAAUUAUUGGGUCCGGUGGACAAGGAUCCCCCGGUAGCAGAUCCCUUACAAACAAUCCAAAUCUCAGAAGAGAAUGAUCACCUCACAAACGUCAGUUCCCUCAUGACACAAGAAGAAACCCAGAGCAUACAAAAUAUCCUUCGAAGCAACCAUGACAUCUUCGCAUGGACACAUUCGGAUAUGAAGGGAAUUCAUCCCUCUAUCGCCUCUCACAAGCUUAACGUCCUUCCAGCAGCCAGACCCAUUCGACAGAAGAUUAGACGCUUUCACCCGGAUAGACAAAGAGUUAUCCAAGAUGAAAUUAACAAAUUGUUGGAAGCAGGAUUCAUCAGAGAGGUAUCUUAUCCGGAUUGGUUGGCAAAUGUAGUAGUGGUACCAAAGAAAGAGGGCAAAUGGCGAGUCUGUGUUGAUUACACCAAUCUCAAUAAUGCAUGCCCAAAAGACAGUUUUCCCUUACCACGGAUAGAUCAAAUUGUGGAUUCCACUUCCGGGCAAGGGAUGCUCUCUUUCUUGGAUGCCUUCUCCGGAUAUCACCAAAUUCCCAUGUCUCCGGAUGACGAAGAAAAAACAGCAUUCAUAACGCCACACGGCCUCUAUUGCUACAAAGUCAUGCCAUUCGGACUCAAAAACGCUGGCGCCACGUAUCAAAGAUUGAUGACUAAAAUCUUCAAACCUCUGAUAGGCCGCUCGGUCGAGGUAUACAUUGACGAUAUCGUGGUUAAAAGCAAAACUCGAGAGCAGCAUAUCCUCCAUCUACAAGAAGUAUUUUACCUCUUGCGAAAGUACGACAUGAAGCUAAAUCCUUCCAAAUGUGCCUUUGGCGUGAGUGCUGGCAAGUUUCUGGGAUUUAUGGUCAGCCAAAGAGGCAUAGAAGUCAGCCCGGAUCAAGUCAAAGCAGUCAUGGAGACACCUCCCCCCAGGAACAAAAAGGAGUUACAACGCCUCACAGGCAAGCUCGUUGCGUUAGGACGUUUUAUAGCCCGCUUCACUGAUGAGUUGCGACCCUUCUUCUUAGCGAUACGAAAAGCUGGAACCCAGGGAUGGACGGACAAUUGCCAAAACGCGUUGGAAAGAAUUAAACAUUGUCUUAUGCAUCCACCCAUCUUGAGCAGCCCCAUCCCAAAGGAAAAGCUAUAUAUGUAUUUAGCUGUCUCAGAAUGGGCAAUCAGCACCGCUCUAUUCCGCUGCCCUUCACCAAAGGAGCAGAAACCUGUCUACUAUGUCAGCAGGGCAUUGGCAGAUGUAGAAACCAGGUAUUCAAAAAUGGAGCUAACAGCCUUAGCUCUUCGAAGUGCUGCCCAAAAGCUCCGCCCCUAUUUUCAAGCCCACCCAGUGAUUGUACUGACCGAUCAACCCCUUCGCAGCAUUCUACACAAACCAGAUUUAACUGGGCGAAUGCUACAAUGGGCCAUCGAAUUGAGCGAAUUUGGAAUCGAAUUCCAACCCAGAUUAUCCAAAAAAGGCCAAGUAAUGGCCGACUUUGUGCUCGAAUAUUCACGAAGACCCAACCAGCACCACGAAUCAAGUGAACAGGAGUGGUGGACACUACGAGUUGACGGAGCCUCGCGCUCAUCAGGCUCUGGAGUUGGGCUCGUAUUACAGUCCCCAACUAGGGAACAUCUGGAGCAAACCAUCCGGUUGGGAUUCUCCGCGUCUAACAAUGAGGCAGAAUACGAGGCCAUCCUGUCCGGAUUGGACCUCGCCCUUGCUCUAUCUGUCUCCAAACUCCGGAUCUACAGCGACUCGCAACUAGUGGUAAGGCACAUCCAGAAAGAAUAUGAGGCUAAGGACUCACGCAUGGCGCGAUACUUGGCCAAAGUAAGAAGCACCUUACAGCAAUUCACCGAGUGGACAAUCGAAAAAAUUAAGCGAGCUGACAAUAGGCACGCUGACGCUUUGGCCGGCAUAGCUGCCUCUCUACCUAUCAAAGAAGCCAUUCUAUUGCCCAUAUAUGUGCAAGCCAAUCCCUCUGUCGCAGAAAAUUCCACUUGCAACACCAUUGAGGCAACCCAAACGGAUAAUCAAGAAUGGACGCAGGAUAUUGCAGAAUAUAUCCGGACAGGCACUUUACCCAAAGAUCUUAAACAAGCACACAAAAUCCGGGUGCAGGCUGCCCGCUUCACCCUGAUCGGGGGANNNNNNNNNNNNNNNNNNNNNNNNNNNNNNNNNNNNNNNNNNNNNNNNNNNNNNNNNNNNNNNNNNNNNNNNNNNNNNNNNNNNNNNNNNNNNNNNNNNNNNNNNNNNNNNNNNNNNNNNNNNNNNNNNNNNNNNNNNNNNNNNNNNNNNNNNNNNNNNNNNNNNNNNNNNNNNNNNNNNNNNNNNNNNNNNNNNNNNNNNNNNNNNNNNNNNNNNNNNNNNNNNNNNNNNNNNNNNNNNNNNNNNNNNNNNNNNNNNNNNNNNNNNNNNNNNNNNNNNNNNNNNNNNNNNNNNNNNNNNNNNNNNNNNNNNNNNNNNNNNNNNNNNNNNNNNNNNNNNNNNNNNNNNNNNNNNNNNNNNNNNNNNNNNNNNNNNNNNNNNNNNNNNGAGUCCGGACUGUAGAUCGCGCGUCAAACGCGGCUUCUUGAGGGGAGGCCCUUUCACCAGGACUAUAGCCAGGCGAUCCGGGUCGUCGGAAGGCUGACUUUGGCUUUCUGCUCCCGCUUCCUCCAACGGGGCCGUUUCAGCUGCAUCAGCAUCCGGAUUAAGGUUGCCCGGACGGUUGAUAGAUGCAGCUUCCUCAGCCACGUUAGCCAGACGCGCAGCCGCGACCAAGGAAGGACCUGAGUGAUUCAACCCCGACAUGCGUCCGGGGCCGCUUGAGAUAGAGUGCGGAGCAGCAUUUACUGGCUCCUCUAUCAUUACUUCCCCCUCAUAGGUAGUUUGGGGAGGAGGAAACUGCUUGGGAGGAGUGGGUUCCUUCAUGUCCUUCCCAUGCUUCUUCACCAGCUUCCCCCUUUUUCCUGAAGUUUUCUUUGGAGGAGAGUCCGGACCCCGCUUCUGUCCGGGAGCCUUCCGGAUAGUGCCUUCAGUUUUUUUCUGAUCUCUAUCCUCCAGGAGCUUUCGCCGCCUUUCAGCGUCAGCCUCUUUGGCUUCCUGACAGAGGGGGAGCUCCUUCACAGUAUAAUGCUCCCCAGGCACUAUCUCAUCCUUUGCCAAUUUCCUAGGAAGAAUAUUGAUAACAUAUUCCUGGGGCUCCCGGACGACCUCCGUCAAAUUCCGCGCGGAAAGCAAUGUUUUGUAGGCCCUCUCCUUGGGGUCUAUUUCAAAUAAUUUGCAGACGCAGGCAAAGGACGCCUUUUCCACCCAAUCCACAAGGUGGCCCCUCAAUUCCAAACCUGCAUUGUCAGCAACAAAGGGUGAGAAUUCUGUCCGGAAAAAUCAGAAAAAAUCAGCAAAGCAAAAUCCGAAUAAAAAAUCGCAAAACAAGAUUACCCGGGAUUUGUAAGGUAUAAUUCGGAGAAAAAGGCCUCGACGGAUGCUGCGAUAGCCCCGCCCAUCCACCCCAGACUGCCACCAGCCCCUUCGCCCCUCCCUUUGUCGAAUCUGGCAGUUCUGUCACCAUUUGAAGGGAGGGCAGGUGAGCGGACACACUGAAGAUAUCAUUCUUUGCUUUCUUCAGGGAAUAGACAAAGAACAAUUCCAGUAGCGUAAGGUCGAGGCUGUACAGCAUGUUGAUAAUGCUGCAUCCCAUCAGCACCCGGACAAGGUUGGGAUGAAUGAAGAUGGGUGGAAUCUGAGAGAAGUGGAGGAAUUCCUUGAACAAGGCUGGCAGAGGGAACCGGAGCCCCGCGUUGAAUUGUUCCUUUGUGAAGAGGAUAGCGUUUUUUCCACCUUUCUCAGUAGGAAUAGCCGCCUCCUCGUUCACCAGGUCUAUCAAUACGUCAUGGGGGAUGCGGAAUCGCUCCCGGAACUCCUUCGCAUUUANNNNNNNNNNNNNNNNNNNNNNNNNNNNNNNNNNNNNNNNNNNNNNNNNNNNNNNNNNNNNNNNNNNNNNNNNNNNNNNNNNNNNNNNNNNNNNNNNNNNAAUCUGGCAGUUCUGUCACCAUUUGAAGGGAGGGCAGGUGAGCGGACACACUGAAGAUAUCAUUCUUUGCUUUCUUCAGGGAAUAGACAAAGAACAAUUCCAGUAGCGUAAGGUCGAGGCUGUACAGCAUGUUGAUAAUGCUGCAUCCCAUCAGCACCCGGACAAGGUUGGGAUGAAUGAAGAUGGGUGGAAUCUGAGAGAAGUGGAGGAAUUCCUUGAACAAGGCUGGCAGAGGGAACCGGAGCCCCGCGUUGAAUUGUUCCUUUGUGAAGAGGAUAGCGUUUUUUCCACCUUUCUCAGUAGGAAUAGCCGCCUCCUCGUUCACCAGGUCUAUCAAUACGUCAUGGGGGAUGCGGAAUCGCUCCCGGAACUCCUUCGCAUUUAGUUUAUCUAUCGCCUUUUCGCCAGCCUCGCUGACCCGGACAGACGAAACAGUCUUUUUUGGAGUCAUUUCUUACCACAAAGCCAAAGCAAAAUCUACACGCAAAAACAAUGCAAACGGUCCAGACCAAGCAAUCAGAAAAUACACAAACUCAAAGCAGUCAGAAAAACCCCUCAAAAACCCCUCCAAACAAACAACAAAGUACCAACAUUAAACAAACAAUUGCAAGCGACUUGUUCAAAACAAAGCCAGGAACCAAGUUUAAAGAACCGGCAAACGCAACCAAAGGAAUGACAAUAGCAAAGAGGUACGUACCAAAUAGAGCUCUGGAGAAGAAAAACGGUUACUCUCUCGGUAUAAAAUCACCGGCAACAAACAAACGAGGUCGUUCGAAGUUUUUCUCAGAAAAGCAAAGGACGCAGAAAAAGUAAGAAGAAGGAAGGCUCUCAAGAGAAUGCAGUAGAAAAAAUACAAAAAGAGGUACAGUGCCCUAUUUAUAGCAGGACAGCCCCUCGGAAAGCCAAACCAACAGCCGUGUUAUCAUUGAAACGACAUAUUGCCUGGGGAUACACAGGGUCGGCGGCUCGCCAUAAAUGCCUUUUUUGGCUUUCGCACCCCCACUCGCCACGUGGCUAAGUUAGACGAAUGGACUUUUUCAAUUUUCAAAAACCCAGUUAUUUUUAACCCGCCCAUUUUUUGGCAAAAUAAGCAAGUUAAAAAGGGGGGCAAUGUAGGGACCCCUCCCCUUGGGAAACACGUGGCACGCGGCUCAUGGUGACGCGUGGCACGUGCUGUCAGCCGGACCAUCAUCAUCCGGAUUCCCCUACAGAUACGUAUGGUGCGACUAUCCUAUCCGGAACCCCCCAAGGAAAGACAAACAACGUUUCAGCUUCUCCUAUCCAAGGAAGAGCAAACGACGCUGGCAGAACGUAGACACCCGGAUAGUCUCCACAAACACAUCCGGAUAUUCAGCAUGAUCCAUCCGGAUAUAAAUCGUCUGGAUGGUCAAUUAAAGUAAAGCGAGUCUUACACGCAAUCACAACAAACAGCCAUGGCCCACAUCCCAUCACCUGCAGAAUGAGAAGACAAGAGGAAGUGACAGCAAGUCACUUCCCACGAUCAUUCUGCAUAAUCGCUUCCCACGAUCUCUGACAGCCGCAUCACCUACCAUGGUCUCUGACAGCCAUUCGUAGGAUGAUAGUGCUCCUACUAACACCUAUUGUCAUCAUCACAACAGAAAAUAUCUCCCCACCAUUAAUGAGAGGAACAGUACCCCUGAAGCUGUAUAUAUAUGACUUCACACGAAGAAGAAAGGGAUGAUCUCCCGGUAACCUCUUGACACCUAGUAAAAGGCCAACUGCCUCAUAUAUCUUAUUCUCUUACCAUGGCUAACAACAUCAUCGGAGGGUGCAUCCGGACACCCUGUCCGGAUGCCUUUUUGCAGGUACAACCACUGAAUCAAGAACCCCUUGUGUGUUGAGAAUCGCGUGUCCAUCCAUCUAGCAGCAACGCGGCCCACCUGAUACGCGAGGUGACAACAGAGAGGUCAUCAUGCUCAUCCUAGUGCCAAUUAACUCAAAACAACUAAGGAUAAUUCUAUGAUGGGGUAAUUAUCGAACAAGGUGAUAUUACAUGAUAAGAAAAAGGUUUAUUUGAUAUCUCAAUAUAAUUUGAUAUUUAGGUUGCUUAAAAAGAUUAAAAUGAGAUUGAAGAAUGAUCCGUCAUUUUCGAAUUGUGUGGCGGGUCGAGUGUGGGGAACAUCAUCCUAAGAGUAAAGCCACGCCAGAGAGAAGUCCCACUGGCACUGAAAUCAAGGCAACUAGAAGAAAAGGCUUCAGUUACGUCGUCAACCGAAAGAGUUGAAGUGAAGCCAUCCAGAUGAGGCAUUAACUGCAAAGAAAAAACAAAACAUGUGGCUGCUUAAUUUCUUGAUAUGGUGGAGCCGCAUGAGGGCAUGAGUUGAGUAUAUAAGUGGAUGCAAGCUUCAUUCCUUGACCAUUAAGCCUCUUUGGGUUACUGAAUACUGAGAGUAGAACCAAAUUGCAAUGGCAAAUUCACCUGUAGUGUGGUUAGCAUCCGUGUGGCUUGUGUCCAAUAUAUUGUCCCUUCCAUUCCUGGAAUUGGGUAUAUCUUCUUGUGGUGGCUCAUGUCAAACACUUAAUGACUGUGAAGGUCAGCUCAUGCAUCGAUGGUAAAUGUAACGACGAUCCCGAGGUCGGGACUCACAUAAAUGGAGGAAGUUCAAUUACCCCUCCACCUCCACCUCCCGGUACCUGCCAGCCCUCCGGAACUCUUGCGUGCAAUGGUGGAAAACCCAAAAAUACCUACACAUGCUCUCCUCCGGUCACCUCCUCCACGCCUGCCGUUCUAACUAACAAUAAUUUUGAAAAAGGAGGGGACGGUGGAGGCCCAUCCACUUGCGACAACAAAUACCAUGACAAUUCAGAGCGCAUCGUAGCAUUGUCAACUGGGUGGUAUAAUGGGGGAUCCCAGUGUGGAAAGAUGAUUAGGAUAACGACUCAAAAUGGGAGGAGCGUGUCACAGUGGUGGAUGAGUGUGACUCCAAAUCUUUAUGAUUAAUGUUUUCCGUGAUGCCCCAAUUACUAAUACAUGCAGUUACUUCGUCAACGCAACAUAUAUCAUGUGAACAUUACUAUACUAUCUGCCUACAAGAUACUGUUGGCAGUACGUACGUACCAACCAAUUAGUAUCUCUAGGAUUCUCAUAGUAUUAAUUAUCUAUUCCAAUCUACUCAUUUUCAUCGAAAUAACUAUAAUUAAAAUAUCUGCAAACAUUUUAGGAAAAUAGAUAUGCAUACCUAUGGGUCUUUUGGACUUAAAACUUACCACAGUACAGAUAUAUCAAAGCUUUGUCAAGUGUUGUGGUAGUAGAACAUAUAACUGUAAACCAAAGACUUUAUACGACUACUCGGAUACAUUUGUACAUGUCUAUGAAUUCACACACUUAUUGCCCUAUGGAUAUCCCAACUAUCAUGAGAAUUAAUUGUAGAGUACGUAGGUCUCAAUCUCUUAGGAUGGCCCCAGUUCCACACUCAUUCAGGUAAUUAUCAAAAAUUUUCCUGCCAACCAUCCUAACUUUAUAGCUUAUAGACUAAUUAAGACUUUCCACUCCGGCUCUAUAGCACUACAUGAAAGUCGUAAUGUAAAGACAUCCCAGAUGAAGUGUGGCACAAAUAAUGAGGAGGAAGAAAAAUCGUAAUGAACAGAAAGCCCAAUAACUAGCAGGGAAAGCCAAUGACUCCCAAGCACCACGUGUAUUAUGCGCACAAGCGGAAAUAAUUUGGAGAAAAUUUAGAUUUGCACGUGUAUCAUGUGUUGAAAGUCAAAAUUAUGUUUGGGUAAAGGACCAAUAUGACCCAAAAUCUAGAUUUGCACCCUUGACACUUUUAAAAUAGAACCCUACAUUUCAAACCUAUUAUAUAUAUACCAUUUGGAAAUAAAAUACCUAAAUAAAAGGGAUCCGAUGAUCAAAUGGCCCCUUUGUAAAUCAAUGAGAGAUGAAGAUGCUCAAAAAUCUUCAUAAAUAAUUGAAAUUUUUUGUUCCAUCAUUUCUAGAUACAAAAAUGGGUUUAUGGAUUUAAAGAGUGUUUUUCAAGGGGAAAGCCCCUUGACCUUAUUGCCUAUGGCCUCUUUUAUAAGCAUUCUUCCCAUGCAGAUGUAUUGUAAAUCUUGUGAAGGAGCAGACUUUUUCUAUAAGCUUUAACUUUUGGGUGAAUGAGGAUAAGAGCAGUUGAAUUUGUCUUUUCAAGCACAAGUUGGUCAAUCAUGUCAACUUGUAAGAAGAUCUUCCCUUUUUAUGAUCUUUAUUUUGGGGUAAGGUAAAUUUGUAUCUUUUCAAAUAAGUGUUGUAUGACUGCAAAUGAGACUUUUUAAAAACUAUAAGUUUUAGAGUAAACUUGUGUUGUUCAUUUGGAAUUAGGUUCUUUAAUCAAAUUGGGUGAAUGGUGCUACCUCUUUACUCGAGAUGGCCUCAGGGUUGGGUGGCUGAAGAUUAGUAUUUCAAGAUGGCUUGUUUAUUGUUCACUUCAAGAGACAAGAAAGAACUCAUUCCUACAAGGUUGCUUCGCCCUACCAAAGAAUUGUUGCUUCUUCAAUAAAUAUUCCUUCUCUGCGGGAAGGCUCCACUUUUAUAGUUCUUAAUUCAUGCAUCAUUAUUACAAAAGUUGCAGCCGAGGGAUUGUGUACAUAAACUAUGGUCUAUGAAGACAGCCAUAUCAAUGCCUUGAUAGUGUGAAAUUUAGCUUUCUUUCGAGUAAUUUAUUUCCCCCCCUUUUAUAGGUAGAGGGUGGAGCAAGAUAGGCGGAUGAUCAAAAAUCGACUAGUGCAAAUUGAAUUGAAAGGAGUCCAAUUGGGGUUGGCCCAGCAAUUUGAUUGUGUGGAACUCUACCAAGAAAUAGCACAUGAUAUAACGUCACAAAAGAGGAGAACGAUUAGUUCUGGAUUGAGUUAUCAUAAUUUCGUGCAGAGCCAAGUUUCAUCCACCCAUCACGCAUGCCCGGAAAAAAAACAAAAAAUCUGAGGAGCUACACUAAAUGCCUCCUCAAUAGAGCAGGUUGACCCGUAGCCAAUGCCCACAAGUUAAUGGCCAAGUUGAAGAAAUUAAAGGUGCCCCGCUAUGUGGACCAAUUGCAUUUAGCACUCAUUACUUCCUGAGCCAGACAACAGCUUGGAGUGGAUUCAGUAUCAAUAUAAGCAGCCUCUUCCUUAGGCCUCAUCCAAAACAUUCCAAACCGCUGGGCCAAUUUACCUUAUUGAAGGUGGCUCCAAUGGCAAAUUUAGCACUGUUGCUAGCAUCUCUGUGUCUUCUCUCCAACAUUUUCUCCCUCCCAUUCCUUGCAUUUGCUAUAUCCUCCUGUGGUGGCCCAUGUCAAACCCUUAACGACUGUGAGGGUCAGCUCAUAUGCGUCAGUGGUAAAUGUAAUGAUGAUCCAGACGUCGGGACUCACAUUUGUCAAACCCCAUCACCAUCCCCUCCAAGCGGCUCUAACUGUCAAGCCUCCGGCACUCUUACGUGCGGGGGAAUAUCCUAUCCCACCUACAGAUGCUCCCCUCGGGUUACAUCCUCCACACCUGCCAAACUCACAAACAAUGACUUUAGCGAAGGCGGGGACGGUGGAGGCGCGUCGGAGUGUGAUGAGCAGUACCAUAGCAACUCGGAGCGUAUUGUCGCCCUGUCAACCGGGUGGUACAAUGGCGGAUCGCGAUGUGGAAAGAUGAUCAGGAUUACGGCACAAAAUGGGAGGAGUGUGGUGGCCAAGGUGGUGGAUGAGUGUGACUCCAUGAGGGGGUGUGACCAAGAGCAUGCAUACCAGCCUCCUUGUAAGAAUAACAUAGUUGAUGGAUCUGAUGCUGUGUGGAGUGCUCUGGGGCU